rnacentral:lncRNA from 1 species
GAAAGAGUGUAAAAGAGGAGGGGAGAAUGAGUUUUCCUAUUGAAAACACUUGUUCGUGGAUAAAUAAUAUAAUUUUAUUACUUCCUGAUAAUCGAUAUAAAAAUAUAUAAGAGAUGUACUGAUUAAUUGAUUUUAUAAUUACAUAGCGUAGUUCGAAGCCUUCUUUUAUAACUUCAGUAUAUUAAUUACUUAACGACCGAUCAUAGGAUAGACAUUGGGACUACUUGAGUCCUGUUAUGCUUAUAUUUCUGUUGUGAGACCACCAAGAACAUAACCUCUUAAAACGGAUCUGCAGAUUGUAUUCUUUAUUUCAAUGGGGAUUAUUAAAGAUAAAAAUUUAGCAUGGUCAAUUCGUGAAAGUUGGUAAAUAUUAUUAAACAUGACUGUGAUUAAAAACGAUACAACCAAA